CCUACGGGUGGCAGCAGUGAGGAAUAUUGGUCAAUGGGCGGAAGCCUGAACCAGCCAAGUCGCGUGAGGGAUGACGGCCCUACGGGUUGUAAACCUCUUUUGUACGGGAGCAACGCGCCUUACGUGUCGCGCUUUGCAUGUACCGCAAGAAAAAGGAUCGGCUAAUUCCGUGCCCGCAGGCCCCGUAAUACGGAAGGUCCGGAGGGUAUCCGGGUUUGUUGGGGUUUAAGGGGUCGUCGGCCGGAUGUCAAAGGUGGCGUUAAAAUUUCGGGGUCAACCCCGGUCGUGCCGUUGAAACUGGCGGGCUUGAGUGCGCGGGAAGUAGGCGGAAUGCGUGGUGUAGCGGUGAAAUGCUUAGAUAUCACGAAGAACCCCGAUUGCGAAGGCAGCAUGCCGGCGCGCAACUGACGCUGAUGCACGAAAGCGCGGGUAUCGAACAGGAUUAGAUACCCCUGUAGUC
rnacentral:rRNA from 1 species